AACUCAAAUAUGUAUCCCUGCCCUUCGUCCCGUCUUUGACAGGAAAAUUGACCAACAUAUUGAAUGAGAUAGAGAAUAUAAGGAUCGCCAGAUACAACCCCCUAACUGUGAAGAACAUUUUCAGCAAGAUCAAAGACAAAGUACCAACCAUGUCCAGAUCCGACGUCAUAUACCGUAUCCCAUGUGGAGGUUGUAACUCGGUGUAUAUUGGCCAAACAGCCCAAUGCCUAAGAAAACGCAUCGCCCUCCACAGGAGUGAUGCUAGACUGCGACCGGAAAGGUGUGCAUUGGCAAGCCACUCGUCCUUACUUGGCCAUACUUUCCUAUAUGAUGACGUCGAAAUACUAAGCACAAGUUCAAAUUACAACAAAAGAACUUUUCUAGAAAUGUGUUUCAUCAACGAGAACACAAAUAAUAUUAAUAAAAAGACUGACCUGAAGAAUCUGAGUGUUGUGUAUAGUUACCUGUUAUCCCUAGACCGAUGUCGUGACGAUAACAAUACAGUGGAUGUCAUUACUUGAUCUUGUUACUUUUCUGUGGUUCACCUUAUUUUGUGACAGUAACCUAUAAGAAGUGAUUUGACUCCACACCAGCUCGUUUCUGUUUCAUUGUUAAGCAGAGAAAAAUAAUGUUUUAAAUGUGAUCGUAUAACUUCCUGAUGCUCUCCUUGUUAGUUUUAUAGUACACUUGUCGGAUCAUCCUGAAGAAGAAACGCAAUCAGUUUCGAAAUAUAGAUGUAAAUGA